rnacentral:rRNA from 1 species
UACGGGGGGGGCAAGCGUUGUUCGGAAUUACUGGGCGUAAAGGGCUUGUAGGCGGCCAACUAAGUCAGACGUGAAAUCCCUCGGCUUAACCGGGGAACUGCGUCUGAUACUGGAUGGCUUGAGUUCGGGAGAGGGAUGCGGAAUUCCAGGUGUAGCGGUGAAAUGCGUAGAGAUGUGGAGGAAUGCCGAUGGCGAAGGCAGCCUCCUGGGCCAACACUGACGCUCAUGCACGAAAGCGUGGGGAGCAAACAGG